rnacentral:rRNA from 1 species
UACAGGGGGGGCAAGCGUUGUUCGGAAUUACUGGGCGUAAAGGGCUCGUAGGUGGCCAACUAAGUCAGACGUGAAAUCCCUCAGCUUAACUGGGGAACUGCGUCUGAUACUGGAUGGCUUGAGUUUGGGAGAGGGAUGCGGAAUUCCAGGUGUAGCGGUGGAAAUGCGUAGAUAUCUGGAGGAACACCGGUGGCGAAGGCGGCAUCCUGGACCAAUACUGACACUGAGGAGCGAAAGCCAGGGGAGCAAACGGG